rnacentral:rRNA from 1 species
UACGUAGGGGGCAAGCGUUGUCCGGAGUUACUGGGCGUAAAGGGCGUGCAGGCGGUUUGCGAAGUUUGGAGUGACAGUGCCUGGCUUAACCAGGCAAGGCCUUCAAAAACUGGCAGACUUGAGGACCAGAGAGGGACAUAGAAUUCCGGGUGGAGUGGUGAAAUGCGUAGAUAUCCGGAGGAAUACCGAAGGCGAAGGCAGUGUCCUGGAUGGUACCUGACGCUGAGGCGCGAAAGCUAGGGGAG